UGGGGAAUUUUGGACAAUGGGCGAAAGCCUGAUCCAGCAAUGCCGCGUGCAGGAUGAAGGCCUUCGGGUUGUAAACUGCUUUUGUACGGAACGAAAAGCUUCUCCUAAUACGAGAGGCCCAUGACGGUACCGUAAGAAUAAGCACCGGCUAACUACGUGCCAGCAGCCGCGGUAAUACGUAGGGUGCGAGCGUUAAUCGGAAUUACUGGGCGUAAAGCGUGCGCAGGCGGUUAUGUAAGACAGAUGUGAAAUCCCCGGGCUCAACCUGGGAACUGCAUUUGUGACUGCAUGGCUAGAGUACGGUAGAGGGGGAUGGAAUUCCGCGUGUAGCAGUGAAAUGCGUAGAUAUGCGGAGGAACACCGAUGGCGAAGGCAAUCCCCUGGACCUGUACUGACGCUCAUGCACGAAAGCGUGGGGAGCAAACAGAUUAGAUACCCUGGUAGUCCACGCCCUAAACGAUGUCAACUGGUUGUUGGGAAUUAGUUUUCUCAGUAAACGAAGCUAACGCGUGAAGUUGACCGCCUGGGGAGUACGGCCGCAAGGUUGAAACUC
rnacentral:rRNA from 1 species